GACGAACGCUGGCGGCGUGCUUAACACAUGCAAGUCGAACGGAAAGGCCCUGCUUUUGUGGGGUUCUCGAGUGGCGAACGGGUGAGUAACACGUGAGUAACCUGCCCUUGACUGUGGGAUAACUUCAGGAAACUGGGGCUAAUACCGGAUAGGAGCUCCUGCUGCAUGGUGGGGGUUGGAAAGUUUCGGCGGUUGGGGCUGGACUCGCGGCUUAUCAGCUUGUUGGUGAGGUAGUGGCUUACCAAGGCUUUGACGGGUAGCCGGCCUGAGAGGGUGACCGGCCACAUUGGGACUGCGAUACGGCGCAGACUCCUACGGGAGGCAGCAGUGGGGAAUAUUGCACAAUGGGCGGAAGCCUGAUGCAGCAACGCCGCGUGCGGGAUGACGGGCUUCGGGUUGUAAACCGCUUUCGCAUGUGACGAAGCGUGAGUGACGGUAAUGGGUAAAGAAGCAACGGCUAACUACGUG
rnacentral:rRNA from 1 species